rnacentral:rRNA from 1 species
GACGAACGCUGGCGGUGUGCUUAACACAUGCAAGUCGGACGGUAAGGCCCUUUCGGGGGUACACGAGUGGCGAACGGGUGAGUAACACGUGAGUAACCUGCCCUCAUCUCUGGGAUAACAGUCGGAAACGGUUGCUAAUACUGGAUAUGAGCUUGCAAGGCAUCUUGUGGGUUGGAAAGAUUUUUUUGGUUGGGGAUGGACUCGCGGCCUAUCAGCUUGUUGGUGAGGUAGUGGCUCACCAAGGCUUCGACGGGUAGCCGGCCUGAGAGGGCGACCGGCCACAUUGGGACUGAGAUACGGCCCAAACUCCUACGGGAGGCAGCAGUGGGGAAUAUUGCACAAUGGACGGAAGUCUGAUGCAGCAACGCCGCGUGCGGGAUGACGGCCUUCGGGUUGUAAACCGCUUUCAAUUGUGACGAAGCUUUUUGUGACGGUAGCAGUAGAAGAAGCACCGGCUAACUACGUG